rnacentral:misc_RNA from 1 species
UCUCCGUUGGUGAACCAGCGGAGGGAUCAUUACAGAGUUGCAAAACUCCCAAACCAUUGUGAACGUUACCUAUCCCGUUGCUUCGGCGGGCGGCCCGGGCCCCGCGCCCGGCGCCCCCCGGCCCCCCGUGGGCGCCCGCCGGAGGUAAACCAAACCCUUGAAUUGCAUAGACUCUCUGAGUCUUCUGUACUGAAUAAGUCAAAACUUUCAACAACGGAUCUCUUGGUUCUG